GUAGGUGGCAAGCGUUGUCCGGAAUUAUUGGGCGUAAAGCGCGCGCAGGCGGUCCUUUAAGUCUGAUGUGAAAGCCCACGGCUCAACCGUGGAGGGUCAUUGGAAACUGGGGGACUUGAGUACAGAAGAGGAAAGCGGAAUUCCAAGUGUAGCGGUGAAAUGCGUAGAGAUUUGGAGGAACACCAGUGGCGAAGGCGGCUUUCUGGUCUGUAACUGACGCUGAGGCGCGAAAGCGUGGGGAGCAAACAGGAUUAGAUACCCUGGUAGUCCACGCCGUAAAUGAUGAGUGCUAAGUGUUAGGGGGUUUCCCGCCCCCCUUAGUGCUGCAGCUAACGCACUAAGCACUCCGCCUGGGGAGUACGGCCGCAAGGCUG
rnacentral:rRNA from 1 species